CAGCAGCCGCGGUAAUACGAAGGGUGCAAGCGUUACUCGGAAUUACUGGGCGUAAAGCGUGCGUAGGUGGUGGUUUAAGUCCGUUGUGAAAGCCCUGGGCUCAACCUGGGAAUUGCAGUGGAUACUGGGUCACUAGAGUGUGGUAGAGGAUAGUGGAAUUUCCGGUGUAGCAGUGAAAUGCGUAGAGAUCGGAAGGAACAUCUGUGGCGAAGGCGACUAUCUGGGCCAACACUGACACUGAGGCACGAAAGCGUGGGGAGCAAACAGGAUUAGAUACACUCGUAGUCCCUGUCUCUUAUAC
rnacentral:rRNA from 1 species